rnacentral:ncRNA from 2 species
GGACGGCCCCCACAUGUAUGCUCGUGCUCGCUGUCGCCGCAGGGGAAUCCGGUGCGAAUCCGGAACUGUCCCGCAACGGUGUGAUCGGUGCACAUCUGUGCUACCCGCAAGUCCGAUGACCUGCCGACAGUGCGUCCGGAUC